UGCGCCGCAGAAACCCCGCCGCCAACCUAGCUGCUCCCCUGGCUGAAUACGGCAGCCCUUUUGGGGAAAAAAGCUUCCCUUUUCUGUGGGCUUUGCUUUGCCCUUGGUUCUGUAGACACAACUGGGGUGAUAAUUAUUAACGUCUCCAUUGUGUUGCUGCCUGGGAAGUAGGAGGAGGCUGAGGCCAGCGCCGAGUUCGGGUUGACUGGGGCCUGCGCCCGGCAAGACCCCGCCGCUGCCCGGAUGUUGCGAUGGCUGAUCGGGGGAGGCCGGGAACCUCAGGGCCUGGCGGAGAAAUCUCCUUUACAGACAAUAGGUGAAGAGCAAACCCAGAAUCCCUACACUGAACUGCUUGUACUGAAAGCUCAUCAUGAUAUUGUACGAUUUCUGGUACAGUUAGAUGACUACAGAUUUGCAUCUGCUGGUGAUGAUGGAAUUGUAGUUGUGUGGAAUGCUCAGACAGGAGAAAAACUUUUGCAACUCCAUGGACACACACAAAAGAUAACAGCUAUUACUACAUUUCCUUCCUUGGAAGCUUGUGAAGAAAAAAAUCAACUGAUCUUGACAGCCUCUGCUGAUAGAACAGUUAUUGUAUGGGAUUGUGAUACUGGCAGACAAGUUCGAAAAGUAUCAUGUUUGCAGUCUACUGUAAAGUGUUUAACUGUUCUUCAGAGACUAGAUGUUUGGCUGUCUGGUGGAAAUGACCUGUGUGUGUGGAACCAAAAAUUAGAUCUCCUGUGUAAGACUCAUCACCUUUCUGAUACAGGGAUCAGUGCUUUGAUUGAAAUACCUAAGAACUGUGUUGUGGCAGCAGUCAGCAAAGAACUAAUAAUUUUCAAGUUGAUAGCACCCACAGAAGGAGCACUAGAAUGGGAUAUUCUAGAAGUUAAACGUCUCCUUGAUCACCAGGAUAAUAUUCUUUCAUUGGUUAAUGUCAAUGAUUUGAGUUUUGUAAGUGGCUCCCAUGUUGGAGAGCUGAUCAUCUGGGAUAUCCUGGACUGGACUGUGCAGGCCUGUGAACACAACUUCUGGGACCCAUCUCCACAGCUGGACACCCAGCAAGAAAUAAAACUCUGUCAAAAACCAAAUGACAUUUCUAUUCAUCAUUUCACAUGGGAUGAAGAGAAUGUAUUUGCUGCAGUUGGAAGGGGUUUAUAUGUGUAUAACCUUCAGAUGAAGUGUGUGAUUGCCUGCCAGAAAACUGCACAUGACUCCAGUGUCCUGCACGUUGCCAGGCUUCCAAACAGGCAGUUAAUCUCAUGCUCAGAAGAUGGCAGUGUACGCAUUUGGGAAUUACGAGAAAAACAACAGCUUGCUGCUGAACCUGUACCAACAGGUUUUUUUAACAUGUGGGGGUUUGGAAGAGUGAAUAAACAAGCUAGCCAACCUGUUAAAAAACAACAAGAAAAUGCCACUUCGUGUUCUCUAGAGCUUAUUGGAGAUUUGAUUGGACACUCAUCAUCUGUGGAGAUGUUUCUAUACUUUGAAGAUCAUGGACUAGUGACAUGCUCUGCUGAUCAUCUUAUUAUUUUGUGGAAAAAUGGAGAACGAGAAUCUGGAUUGCGUAGUUUAAAAUUAUUUCAGAAAUUAGAGGAGAAUGGUGACUUAUAUCUUACUGUCUAGCAUAAGGAAAUUGAAUAUGUGUGCAUGAACUUUGAACAUCAACUAUGUGGUAAUACUCUGAAAACUAUUAACAUAUUGCUCACUUAAGUUUGUAGUGUAUUUUUUUUUCUUGUCACUCCAUAAAAUUCCAAUUGUUUGAAUUCUUUUUUGCACAUCUACAAACCAGCAACAAAUUGCUUUUUUGGCAUUAGUACAUCCACCAAAGAAGAUACCAGAAAUUCAGUUUUUUUUAAGUUCUUUCAUUUAGCCUUUUUGGAUUUUGAAAUAUGUGAGUCCAUAAAAUUUUUUAACUAUACCCAUUCAUUCUUUUAAAAAUUUAUUUAAGGAACCAAAUAUACAUGAUACUCAUGGAAAAUAUUUGGGGAGAAAAAUGAAAAACCCACUGAAGAAUGGGUAGGAUAUAGCACAUCUUGAAUUUAGACCUUGAAAACUGACCCUUCCUUCCCUGGAGCAAUGAAGAUUGCAUAAUAACCGCACUCUGUGCUGUUGUUAAAGUGUGUGAAUUGGCCUCAACAGCUAUUGGCACUGGACCAGCAUCUGCCCCCUAUUUGCCAGGAAUGAGAGCUAGAAUUGUAAGGAGUUAACAGUGUUUCCAGAGUCAGAGCCUGCAGCCCAGAGUGCCUGAUGCAUCUCACCAUGGACUGUACUAUGAACUGCUUGAGAACAGGCUUCAUGUACAUAGUUUCUUGCAGUAACCACUGAGAUUUAAGCAUCUUCAUCACCCCAGGGCCUUAGAGCACUCUUCCUCCCUUUUGGAACUUGAGAAUAAAAUUAAGUGUUCCACACAUUAGUAAAUGGGUGGGUCUGAUUGUGGAGUUAAUUCUUUAAACUGCUGAUGAAAGACUCCUGUUAAUGUAAGUGCAAGGUGGCUGAUAUGUCACAGUCCUGAUCCUUCUCAGAAAACAUUUCAUGCCAAUUUAGUUGGUCAUCAUUCACCUGCUUAAUGGAUUCUUUAUAAAUUGUUUUUUCUAGUUUACCUUUGACAGGUGCUUCCACAACUAACUCCAAAGACUGGUAGAGCUAAGGUCAGCUAUACCAGAACAAUGUUAUAUGUGUGGCAUGGAGGCCAGUCAGGUAAAGCCCCUGCAGUUGGUUUGCUCGGUGAUGAUAAUGGGAAUAGAACUCUGUUAAAACUAGUCAAAGAGGACAGGAAUGAGAGAGAGAGGCUUAUGACUACCACUUGAGGAACACCAGAUAAUGUUCAGGCAUUUCGGUUUUAAUUCACAAUGAAAACAGUUUCCUGAAGAAAUAUGUUAAAAAAAGUUGCUACUUCCAUUAUAGAACAGAGUGAUAUGAAUAGGAACAUUAACACUACCUUUAGCCUACAAAUCAUUAUCAUGGCAUCUCGGACUCCCACAGGCAGCCGUCUCAGGUUUCCUCCUGCAGUUGGGGGUUGCCCUUCAAGCCAGGCAGACAUGCACUCUGGUCUGAGUGCCUUAGCUUUACUCAUCACUUUAGUUAAGUAUCUCAUUUUCAGACUUUCCUCAAUAAAUGGACUUUCCCGUUACUAGUUAGCUUUUUUCUUUGGAAAUUCUGAAUUUGGUCAUGAGUUUGCAAAGUUGUUUUCUUGAAUUGUGUAGCUGCUUUAUUUCCUAAUAUGUUCUGGUUAGUGUUUUGUGAUAGUGGUACAAAUUACAGGUGAGUUUUGGGAGCACACAGUACCCUAAGAAACUAUGUCUAGAAGGAAGCCUCCAACCCAUUCACCAGACUUGAUGGUUUUUGCUUUCAUGAAUGCCUUGGGGUCAGACCUGGUUAGCUACUCAGUACUUAUAUAUGUACUGCUGCUAAAAGUUGAACUUUAAGACAACAUAUAUGCAUUUUUUUUCCAUUUCCUAGCUUAACUUUCAGUGUUGUUUGCAACACCAAAGGUUGCAAACUGUGUAGUGUGCUUCAUCAUUUUAAAAUACCCUUAUUACCUCAAUCUUCAGCUUUAUUCAUAGAAUGAAGUGCCUAAACUUCAGGGGCAUUGCAUCAUCCCUUCCAUUUAUCUUUCAGUAGGUUCCGAUUGAACUGAUGAGAUUUCUUUAUUGCCCAUAAGACUAACCCAUCCUGACUCUGAAGGCAAGCAAAUUUUAAAAUCUUAAAGAAUGACUUAAAUUUUAGGGUCAUUCUGGUCCAGGUAACUAUUUUGUGACUUUCUUCUUCUGGUUAAAUGAUAAUUUGACUUCCCUUUGUAUCGGAUAAUGUUGCAUUUUUCAAAAUUAAUAUGGCUCCCCUCGCAUACAGUGUUUUAGUAAACAACUCAAUAUGAGGAAAUUAUAAUAGUUUGUACCCAUCUGCUACACAUACCAUUCGAAGGGCUGUAUUUCUAAUAAACUGACUACUUGAAAAAAUGUAGUUAGCAAUUCAGUAUAUUAAAGAGCAGAAUUAUGCUAAAGCUUUAGUACCUGGCAGUCUUAAAGCAUUUAACAUUUAAGUUAAUAUGAAAUUAAUUUGAAAUUAUAGGGAGUAAGCUGUAACAAUCAUAUGGAAGAUGUCAGAUAUCUGAUAAAUGCUACUUACCAAAUGGAACUGCAAGUGAGAUGAUGGUCAGGAAAAAGAUUAUCCUUGCCUCAAACAAGCUUUGUAGCCUAGGCAAAUUAUUUAUCUCCUUAAAAUGGUAUUUUGACAUCCUGAAUUUAAUGUAGUCUGAAAACAAAGUGUGUGGCUCAUGAAAUAAACGACACUGAAGCAAAAAUUUGAAAUUACAAAAAAUUUAGGCCAAAGAGGUAAAUAAAAACAGCUGUUGAGAAUGAAAAAUGGCUGUAGGAAUUUAGUUACAAGUACUUCACAAAGCAUUUUCACCACAUUUACAUACGGCAGCAUUACAUACACAGCUAGCUCCUGUCCUGACCAAAUGCGUUCUCUAACAAAAAUAACUUAAAUUUCUUCGCGUGGAAUCGUCAUAUAUAUAUUUUCAUUUUUUGUUACAAAACAUAGAAAAAAACAUUGGCACAUUACAUAAUGAUAAGUCAUUCUGUUCCUCCCAUGUACAUGUUCUGCAUUCCAGUUUUCACUUGAAAAAGUAACUACUGAUUCAGUCUCUGCUUGCACCUCUGAAAAAUGCAGCAUGGAAUACAGAGAAUUUGAAAG